rnacentral:rRNA from 1 species
UACGUAGGGUGCGAGCGUUGUCCGGAAUUAUUGGGCGUAAAGGGCUCGUAGGCGGUUUGUCGCGUCGGGAGUGAAAUCCACUGGCUUAACUGGUGGCUUGCUUUCGAUACGGGCAGACUGGAGGUAUGCAGGUGAGAACGGAAUUCCUGGUGUAGCGGUGAAAUGCGCAGAUAUCAGGAGGAACACCGGUGGCGAAGGCGGUUCUCUGGGCAUGUCCUGACGCUGAGGAGCGAAAGUGUGGGGAGCGAACAGG